rnacentral:rRNA from 1 species
UGUUUCGGCAAGGGGGUCAUCCCGACUUACCAACCCGAUGCAAACUGCGAAUACCGGAGAAUGUUAUCACGGGAGACACACGGCGGGUGCUAACGUCCGUCGUGAAGAGGGAAACAACCCAGACCGCCAGCUAAGGUCCCAAAGUCAUGGUUAAGUGGGAAACGAUGUGGGAAGGCCCAGACAGCCAGGAUGUUGGCUUAGAAGCAGCCAUCAUUUAAAGAAAGCGUAAUAGCUCACUGGUCGAGUCGGCCUGCGCGGAAGAUGUAACGGGGCUAAACCAUGCACCGAAGCUGCGGCAGCGACGCUUAUGCGUUGUUGGGUAGGGGAGCGUUCUGUAAGCCUGUGAAGGUGUGCUGUGAGGCAUGCUGGAGGUAUCAGAAGUGCGAAUGCUGACAUAAGUAACGAUAAAGCGGGUGAAAAGCCCGCUCGCCGGAAGACCAAGGGUUCCUGUCCAACGUUAAUCGGGGCAGGGUGAGUCGACCCCUAAGGCGAGGCCGAAAGGCGUAGUCGAUGGGAAACAGGUUAAUAUUCCUGUACUUGGUGUUACUGCGAAGGGGGGACGGAGAAGGCUAUGUUGGCCGGGCGACGGUUGUCCCGGUUUAAGCGUGUAGGCUGGUUUUCCAGGCAAAUCCGGAAAAUCAAGGCUGAGGCGUGAUGACGAGGCACUACGGUGCUGAAGCAACAAAUGCCCUGCUUCCAGGAAAAGCCUCUAAGCAUCAGGUAACAUCAAAUCGUACCCCAAACCGACACAGGUGGUCAGGUAGAGAAUACCAAGGCGCUUGAGAGAACUCGGGUGAAGGAACUAGGCAAAAUGGUGCCGUAACUUCGGGAGAA